CAGUGGAAGCCUGUGCACGAGUCACUUUGCGGCCCUUGCUAUCUGUGUCAGGCCAGCCUGGUGGGCACCAUAAAAGGAGAAGCAGGAGGAGAGGAUACACUGAAAGAUGUCCUUUUAAGAGAGGCAGAAAUCCAAAGGCUGCCUGAGGCCUUCGCCUGGCCUUCCAUCUCCAAGGCUCAUGAAAGAAAGAAAAAGCCACGCAGUUCAAGUGUAACUACAGACACAUCCAAAACCAAAGCCUUGUUUCUUUGUAAGACAAGCCAGUUUGGAUCAAAUAUUCCUAUUUCCAUGAAAACACAAGGCAAAGAGAUGGGAUGUAAACCAGGCAUCUUAAACUGUGAGUCCUAUGGGAAAUGUCAGAGAGAAGGAUCAGAAUGGAAGAACCUGGCAACAUUGGAAAUAACUCUAAUAUACACAAAAGUAUCUCCUUAGAGGUGAACUGGAUCUUUAAAUUCUUGUCAGUUAUCUGACACAGAUGUGGACAAACUUCGCCACCUGCUGUCGAGGUUUGGUAUUGCGAUUUGGCAAGCACCCUGAAGGUGGCGCCAGAUUCCGGCACAGGAUACGGGAAUGUUUUGUAGCAACAGAGCUCAACACUAAGAACUGCCACAUCCGUCAGGUGUCAACAGAUGCAAGCAAUCUCAGAUCUGGGGCCUCGGAUCUGCAUGCCUCCUAUGUCGCUAUGGGAUAGAAAAGCAUCUGGUUCUGAGCAGGAAGAGAUUCCAUGUGGGGGCUCAGCCUUGACUACCACUCUCCCCACCUCUUCUCAUUUGCACGGAUACUGAACGAACCUGCUACCACACGUAUCACAGCAGCCGUCACAGUUUGACUGCCCUUCCUGUCAUCUCAAGUCAACUGGCCUAAGCGCACGGGGAUGUACUAUAGGUGCACAGUCAGCAUGGUCUUCUAACCUUCCGCUCUGGAAAUGCCUCCACAGACACACUCAGGGAACAAGAAGAGGAGGUCCUCUCUCAACACCCGUAUUCAAGCUUGUGUUCCAAUCAGAAAAUGAACAUUUUGUGCUCAAAUUUAUAUGGAAAUGCAAGGAAUUCAAACUAGAUCGAGCAAUCCUUAAAAAGGAAGAAAGCUAGCGAUCAAACCCAGGUCCUGUGUACCCCCACCCCGGCCACCCUAAGGCGCUAAGAUACUGAAAGGGCGGAAAGAAGAGUCUUUUCAACGAAUGGUGGAUGCUGGAGAGCCACACACAAAGGAGGGAGACCCCAAGCCAUACCUAAAAGUUAGCCUCCAGCUGAGCAGAGACCCAUAUGUAAGGUCCAAGUCCAAAGCUCUGUCGGGGCACUGGAGUAAACGCUCACGAGCUUGCAUUCCUUGGCUACAGCUCCAAAGCCCCAGUGACAGAGGAAAAGAUGGAUUAACUGGACUUUCUCAACAUUGAGUCCUUGGUGCUUCAAACCUAGACACUAAAUUUAAAAGACAACCUAAAGGAUGGGGGACUAUGUAAAGACUAUCUGCAAUCCAAUGACAAUAUGUUAACCCAACUGAAAAUUAGACCACUAGUAAAUAGAGAUUUUUUAAUGUUA